GAUGAAGAACGAAGCGAAAUGCGAUAAGUAAUGUGAAUUGCAGAAUUCAGUGAAUCAUCGAAUCUUUGAACGCACAUUGCGCCCGCCAGUAUUCUGGCGGGCAUGCCUGUCUGAGCGUCAUUUCAACCCUCAAGCAACUUCUGCUUGGUGUUGGGGAUCGGCCGUUAAACGCCGCCCCCGAAAUCUAUUGGCGAUCUCGCUGUAGCUUCCUAUGCGUAGUAGUAACAUCUCGCAUCUGGAGAGCGGCGCGGUCAUGCCGUAAAACACCCAACUUCUCAGGUUGACCUCAGAUCAGGCAGGAAUACCCGCUGAACUUAAGCAUAUCAAUAAGCGGAGGA
rnacentral:misc_RNA from 1 species